rnacentral:snoRNA from 1 species
CACAUAUUUUAACUACCCUUCCGGAAUACCACGCCCUGACAUUAACACCUCCGUAUGUCAAUUCGCACAAAUGGCUGGAAGUAGAAAAAUGAUGGUCUAUCUUGACUUCUUCAAUGCUCGUUACUCCUUUAUGGGGUGUAAUCUAGUUUUUACGAUAUAUGAUGCUCUCGGGUAUUAUAUUCAGUUGUAACUAUUGGUUCGCUGCGAGUGUAUAUUU